rnacentral:rRNA from 1 species
UACGUAGGUGACCAGCGUUGUCCGGAUUUACUGGGCGUAAAGAGCGCGCAGGCGGUCGUUCAAGUCGAGUGUGAAAGCCCCCGGCUCAACUGGGGAGGGUCACUUGAUACUGAUCGACUGGAAGGCAGGAGAGGGAAGCGGAAUUCCCGGUGUAGUGGUGAAAUGCGUAGAUAUCGGGAGGAACACCAGUGGCGAAGGCGGCUUCCUGGCCUGUUCUUGACGCUGAGGCGCGAAAGCUAGGGGAGCAAACGGGG